UAAAGGCACACCAUACCAGCAUGGUUGGUUUUAGUUCUGUCUUAGUUCCUGUGUUAUCAGUGGGACAAAUUAUCCAACAUCACAACUAAGAAGAGGAUUUGUUAGCUAAAGUUUCCAGUGCAUGUUUGGCUUCAUCCAAGGCAGAAAACACAUGGCCAAAGGGCCAGGGUGGAGGUCAGUGCUUUUAUUGCAGUAAGAAAGCAGAAAAGAGAGGAGGGACUGGGGACAAGAGUGCGCCUUCCAACUCAUGCCCUCAGACGUCCAUCUCCACACAGUAUAUUCAGCUGUUGAACUCAUUAGAGAAAGGACCUAUUGGCUGGAGUGUGCUUUCCUUUCUCAAUCCUCACUCCCCAACUCAGCCAUGUUCGUGAUGUGAUGGCUGGACCACCACAAGUGGCGCCCGAACAGGCACCUGAGUAUCGAGGGAUCCAGUGAAGGACACCGCAGAGAAG